rnacentral:tRNA from 1 species
GGUUCGAAUCCUGCCUCUCUUCACAAAUUGUCUCAUAGCUCAGUAGGUCAGAGCGUUCCCCUGAUAAGGGAAAGGUC